rnacentral:rRNA from 1 species
UACGAAGGGGGCUAGCGUUGCUCGGAAUCACUGGGCGUAAAGCGCGCGUAGGCGGCCACGCAAGUCGGGUGUGAAAUCCCGGAGCUCAACUCCGGAACUGCACUCGAAACUGCGCGGCUUGAGGUAGGUAGGGGAGAUCGGAAUUCCUGGUGUAGCGGUGGAAUGCGCAGAUAUCAGGAGGAACACCGGUGGCGAAGGCGGAUCUCUGGGCCUUACCUGACGCUGGAGACGCGAAAGCUAGGGGAGCGAACAGG